CAUAGCCCUGAUCGAAACUGCAGCUGUUUCCACACAGCUGCUGUGACCCAAGAGGAGCCUGGAGGGACAUUUGACCUUGAUGGCCGCCAUUCUGUUUGCUGCAACUGAUCUGCAACAUUUUGGGAAAGUACGGUU